AUGGUCCGCCGCCGCUACGGCGUCACCUACCUCAUCCAGCAUCCACCACCACCCAACGCCAAUAGCCACUACCAUGAGCUUGACACCCAUGUCAUCCUCGCCAUGUAUGCCACCCUUACCGAUCAGAUCAUCGACCAUGUGAUCGGCGCCACCACCACCUAUGCCCUCUGGACUCGGAUCCAGGAGUACUUCCUUGCCAAUCGUGCGGCCCGAUACAUGAUCCUCAAUCGGCAGUACCGCAACCUCAAGCAGGGUGACCUUUCCAUCGACGAGUACGCGUGCCGUAUGAAGCUCAUCACCGCCGGCCUCGCGGACAUUGAUCAAGCCGUGACCGAGGUCGACCUCACCUCGCAGUUUCUCCACGGCCUCGACGGGCGCUUCGACACCAUCCGUGUGGUUCUGGGGGACACCGUUCCCUUGCCACCCUUCGAGACGGUCUUCUCGCGCGUCAAAAUUGCCGAGGAGAACCAGGCUCAGCGCGCCUCCAACGCCAGCGCCACUGUACUCGCCGUCCACGGGAACAUAAGGGUUACAGGUGCUACGACCCACUUUCCCGGCACGUCAUAG
rnacentral:rRNA from 1 species